rnacentral:lncRNA from 1 species
UUUGCAUGUAUUUUGCGAGAUAAAUCUUUAGAGCUUAGUUAGUCCAAACACAAACAAAAGUGCUAUAGUAUCUAAAUCCAAAAAAGUUUGGAUCUAAACAAGGCCUAAUAUACAAAUGUACCUUGCAUAUGUUUAUUGGUUCAGUAAUAUCGAUAGGUUUGUAGUGAACGUGCAAGUCAUACAAACCUAAGAGAAAUGUACCCGUACUACUACUAUGUGUCUGACAACAUGAACAACGGCUUGAUCCUGCUGGUCUAUGUGUUGUUUCGGCUGCCGUUGCACAAGAACAUGAAGGUCAUGCACGCCAGUGCAUGCCACCUGCUUUUGCAACAACAUACCUCAAUGUGGCAGCCAGUCCAUGCUUCAUUACCUCGGAGUGGGUCGGCAGCUGCAUGCACUUGGCAGUUGACAGAGACGAAGGUCUAAUCGGAAGGAGCUAGAUGAGUUUCCCGCAGCAUGCAAGGCAUCGACACCCAGUGGGAUCGGUAGAGCACCACUCAAGCGAGGGCGUAUUAGGAGCAUGUGUAAGGAAAGUACCACAACAACACAAUUAAGUUUGUAAAUAAAAUUUUACUAAUCUACUUGCAUAAAAUUAGAAGUUCCUACAAGUACCACAUAUUUCCAAGCCACCAUAAUAAAGUUUAAGGG